rnacentral:rRNA from 5 species
CCCUUUGGGGUGUGACUGCGUACCUUUUGUAUAAUGGGUCAGCGACUUAUAUUCUGUAGCAAGGUUAACCGUAUAGGGGAGCCGGAGGGAAACCGAGUCUUAACCGGGCGUUAAGUUGCAGGGUAUAGACCCGAAACCCGGUGAUCUAGCCAUGGGCAGGUUGAAGGUUGGGUAACACUAACUGGAGGACCGAACCGACUAAUGUUGAAAAAUUAGCGGAUGACCUGUGGCUGGGGGUGAAAGGCCAAUCAAACCGGGAGAUAGCUGGUUCUCCCCGAAAGCUAUUUAGGUAGCGCCUCGUGAAUUCAUCUCCGGGGGUAGAGCACUGUUUCGGCUAGGGGGCCAUCCCGGCUUACCAACCCGAUGCAAACUGCGAAUACCGGAGAAUGUUAUCACGGGAGACACACGGCGGGUGCUAACGUCCGUCGUGAAGAGGGAAACAACCCAGACCGCCAGCUAAGGUCCCAAAGUCAUGGUUAAGUGGGAAACGAUGUGGGAAGGCCCAGACAGCCAGGAUGUUGGCUUAGAAGCAGCCAUCAUUUAAAGAAAGCGUAAUAGCUCACUGGUCGAGUCGGCCUGCGCGGAAGAUGUAACGGGGCUAAACCAU